rnacentral:rRNA from 1 species
UACGUAGGGUGCGAGCGUUGUCCGGAUUUAUUGGGCGUAAAGGGCUCGUAGGUGGCCAACUAAGUCAGACGUGAAAUCCCUCAGCUUAACUGGGGAACUGCGUCUGAUACUGGAUGGCUUGAGUUUGGGAGAGGGAUGCGGAAUUCCAGGUGUAGCGGUGAAAUGCGUAGAUAUCUGGAGGAACACCGGUGGCGAAGGCGGCAUCCUGGACCAAUACUGACACUGAGGAGCGAAAGCCAGGGGAGCAAACGGG